GGUGUGCAGGCGAUCAAUCUCAUCCAUCGCCACACUGACAAGGUACAGUACUACAACAGCCAGCUGCUUAUACUACACACUCAAGAAGACCGAUUCGAGUAGUAAAGCAUGGCGUCCAAGGGUCACCUUGUGUUGGCUCUCAUGCUUGCCGCUGCUUUGCUCGUCGCUACGGCUGAACAAACCCAGGCCAAGGAGGCGACGGCGCCCAAAGGUGGCGUACAGCCACAGGACUUCCACCACGGCGGCGGCGACUGGGGCCAUGGAGGCGGCGGUGGCCAUGGAGGCGGCGGCGGGUGUCACCAGUGCUGUCCUCACCAUGGAAGCAGCUGCCACUGCUGUGGUCCCAACGAGAUCCCGGAUAAGAUCCGCAACUGAGCUCCAGGGCGGGCACCGGCCGGCCAGAUGCAUGCACUACGUACUCUAGCUCCGUGCUUGCAUGCAUGCUGCCUGUACGCGCUCUUAAAGUCUAAAUUAGUAGAUGCUGCCCGUAAAUAUAGCCUCGUCAAUAAAAGGAAGCAUAUGUAUGUAUCUACGUACAUGUGCAUACGCGUUCACAGAGUGAUCUAGCUUGGAGAGCACAGAUCGCUAGCAGUCUGCGUGCUUUCAAGUUUCUAUGUGUUAAAAAUAUAUAUCCCGGCUUCUCUUCUGUUGUCCAAGGGUUGAUCAGCGGUUGCUGAUCAGCUGAUGUAAUGCCCCCUUAUGUUAACUUUGUGGAACAAAAGAGGACAGUGGAAAGGCCUAAUAUAAUUCUCUACUACGUGCAUUUCA